rnacentral:rRNA from 1 species
GAUGAACGCUGGCGGCGUGCCUAAUACAUGCAAGUCGAGCGAACAGAUGAGAAGCUUGCUUCUCUGAUGUUAGCGGCGGACGGGUGAGUAACACGUGGGUAACCUACCUAUAAGACUGGGAUAACUCCGGGAAACCGGGGCUAAUACCGGAUAAUAUUUUGAACCGCAUGGUUCAAUAGUGAAAGACGGUUUCGGCUGUCACUUACAGAUGGACCCGCGCCGUAUUAGCUAGUUGGUAAGGUAACGGCUUACCAAGGCGACGAUACGUAGCCGACCUGAGAGGGUGAUCGGCCACACUGGAACUGAUACACGGCCCAGACUCCUACGGGAGGCAGCAGUAGGGAAUCUUCCGCAAUGGGCGAAAGCCUGACGGAGCAACGCCGCGUGAGUGAUGAAGGUCUUCGGAUCGUAAAACUCUGUUGUUAGGGAAGAACAAAUUUGUUAGUAACUGAACAAGUCUUGACGGUACCUAACCAGAAAGCCACGGCUAACUACGUGCCAGCAGCCGCCGUAA